UCAUACCUUUCUCGGCCUUUUGGCUAAGAUCAAGUGUAGUAUCUGUUCUUAUCAGUUUAAUAUCUGAUACGUGGGACAUUGUCCCACAUGAUAUUAAAUUAAUUUUUUAAGGGGGAGGGUUCACAACAGUGGCUUGCCACUGGAGCUCUCGAGCGUCGCCCUUGCGUUGCACUACUGCUCGGGCCUGGCGCACCCCGCCAAAUCUAGUCUAAAAAUCUUUCGGUAAAGGCGCGAGCAGUUAAUCAAAUAUUGUUCCAGCCAUGACUGCUGAUGGUCAAGGAUAAAAUUACAAACGCUUAUGGCUUCCGUUCCAGGUGAACACGACAGAGGCGAUUGUCUAAUCAGAAACUUGUUUAACUUAUUGUUUUCUCUUUAUUCAGAUUCAUCUCAGACAAAGCAUUUAUCGGAAGGAAUUAUCAUUGCUUGGGCCUGUGUAGCGGAUUGGUUUUCUUCCUGAUCAAAUCGUUAAGGGGGUGUUGGUGCGAGCUGUUUGAUUAUAGAAAUAAUUCGAUCAAGCUUUAAGAGGUACCUAUUUCAGCCUCUGUUGCACUGUUUGAAGCUAUAUGGCUUAUUCAGAGGAAAAAGGGUGAUUGCAUCGAAGGGAAAAGAAACUACAAACUGGAAGAUACAGCAGAUAUUGUUUUACUGUUGCUGUGCGAUAAUAGCUGGUGUGAUGGGUAGAUAACAUGGACUAGGAGGAGGGUUUAUCUUAGGCCCUCUUUUUCUUGAAUUGGGAAUUCCCCCUCAGUUAUGCAUAUAUUAUUGUCAAGCUUGUGAUGGAAGGAAAUGGUCACCAGAAGACAUAGAUAGAUAUAACAUUCUAUGCUUGCAAAAAGCUUCAUAUCGUGUCCAAUGGUCGAAAGUAUGUUUCCUAUCCGCACUCAAAUCUAUUGACAAAACAAAAUGGUUCCUUUUGUGGAAGGCUGAAUAUAGAUUAAGUUUAUAACAAUGCCUGAAUUUUAACAUUGUUAGUCAUAUUAAAGGCAAAUCAAUUCUAACAUAACAAACUGGUAAGUACCAAUUUAGUAACUUGCCAUCGUCCAAAUCAACUCAGGCUACCACAGUUUAUUGGACAUGUUCAACCCUUACAUUCUCCUGAAUGCUAUAACCUGCCUCACCCAGACCCGCCUGAAGCAGGGAAGGGUAAGUGGUGGCAGGGCUAGGUCAGGGGCAUGGUGCACACUAUAUGAACACCAACUCACAUAUAUUUGUACAAUUUUUGCAGGUAGCUGAUGUCACAUCAGCAUUUACAUCUACUUGGCUUUAACAGUUUUACCUUUUUGGUCUGCAGCUACUUAUUUUGUUUUGCUUUCAACAAUAGCUACCUUCACUGGUCAGCAUGUCAUGAGAAGGAUAUUUGCAGUCCCUGGAAGGACGUCAAUAAUCAUAUCUUUACUAGCUCUGACAAUCUUUGUUAGUGCCAUCAGUUUAGAAGCAGAGCACAAACUUAUCAAUUUCCUAAUCCAAUGUUGAAGGUGGAGUGGGCAUCGAAGACAUGGCCGAGAAGUUGGAGAAUCAAAAAUACAUGGGAUUUGAAGAUAUAUGUCACCAAUCCCACAGGGGGGGCUUUGUCUUGUAGGCAUGAUUGUUCAGACUCGACACUCUAACAAAGAGGCCACCAAGACACAACGAGGAAGAUUCAUGCGAAGCUUAAAGACCAUUAAAAGAUAACUUCCCAGGAGACAUGCUUUCUAUGAUGGUGUCUUCUAUUUGCAAAUGAUGGUUAUUCAUUUGGUUUUUAGCCAUCUAAACUGAUAAUCUAUUUAUUAUGUUUUGUAAUUUUUUAUCAUUACACAUAUUUUGGGAAGUAGAUUGAUAAAGAUGUGUAUUAUAAACAUAUAAUUAGAUAAUUUAUAUUUAAAAAUAGACUAUUUUUUAUGAA